UGGAAGCAGCAACGGGAGAGUGGGAACACAAGAGGCUGAGGGGAGAAGAAACAGCCUCACUAUAAGCUGACCAGUCCAUACCCUGAACCAGCCCAUCACUCCAGCCCCUGGCUCACAAGGUGUCCCACAAAAUGUCUGAGGAGGACGAAGGCCACCACAAAGUCUGAGCUGCCAAGAAGCAAAGAGUUUGCUGGCAGGACAGAGAAGAUCUCAAAUUUUGUACUACAUCUAUGUUGUUGCCUAUGCCUGGCUGAGGACGGUCUUGCUACAGUUGAGCGUCAUCUUAAAUGACAACUGGGAGCCCUAAGAGUGGACCGGGGCUGGCACAGAACAGGGGCACCUGUUCAGGUCCAGAAGACCAAAGAUGGAGGAAGCUCUGAAGGUGUGAAAUCACAGCGCUCUUGUCCUUGAAUCAAAGCGGGUGUCUGCCUCUGAUCAGACUUUCUGUCCUACUCAUAGCAGGAUGGAUGGAUAUGUCCUUCAACAGCUACCCUCUCUGGGUCCAGAGCAAGCGUUCCAGCCUUCACCAUAUGUCUUGUCUGUAAGGAGGCAUCCACCCAUCUUGGUUAUUUAUGGAGGAGAGCUCUGGGGUCAUGUCAGAGCCCUGUUGGCUGCAGCUUUGCAGAAAGGUUUACCUCGUUGCAAGCACAAGUCUGGAAGGAAGCCUGGAGGUAACACUCACAUCUUCUCAUCUCUUGGAAGGAUGACCCAGGAAGACAAACCCAGUUGCGGAGGAAAUGUUGUCUGGAGAUGAGCCAUGCCUGCACUAGGAAAGAACUCCAAAACUCCAGUUUGUCCCAGUGUCAGGAUGGACCCAUGCCACCUGCAGCACCCACUCUUCUAUUUUCCCGCAGCUCUCAUAGCAUGGCAGGAAUGGAGCCACUCUCCUUGCAGCUCCACUCACCCCAUCCUGAGGCAAGGAGAUCCCAGUUUGCCUCAGCAUCAGCCCAGCCAAGCUCAGACACAGGAACACCAUCCCUGAAACCCAGACUGGAAGCGCUGGGGCCACAUGUAACACCGUCACCCCAGCAGAAUGCUGCUGGUCCCAGCGGGGCUGGGUACAACGGUGGUUUGAGUUACAGGGCUCAGUUUACCGCUGACCUAUUGACAUUUACACUCGCAUGCAGUCACUAAACAGCCUGCAGAUACCUGACCAAAAAAGACUGCGGCGCUCGGCCCGUGCUGCUAAUCCCCAAACUUGAGGAGAAGUUCACAGGCAGUGCUCACACCCACGUACCGUCACUUCCCACCCUGCACGCUGGGAAACCCCAUAUAAAUAAAGCUUAAUUGCUGCUCCUCCGACACAGCACAUGCAGGCAAAAUGCGCGGUAGCCAAGCAAACAGCAAAGCCCUGGGAUUUCCUGAGUCCUCCUCUGCAGACCAGACCCUCCAGCUGACGUCCAACUAAAGUCAAGAGGACCAGCACCUUACCUGCAACUCUGGCAUCUUUCAUGACUGAAUUCUCCCUCUGCAAGGGAGAGGAAGGCAUUUGUAUAGCAAAGUUCAAUUCAUUUAGUGCUUCUGCACUCAUGAAUCUCAAUGGCACUAAAGGGGGAAACCGAAGCAACAUGUUGAGAUGCCACGACCACCUCCAACUCUACACAGCCCUGGCUGCAUCCCACUCCAGCCCACAGAGCAAAAAGCAGAGGCUUCAUCAGCAUAUUUCAACGGCGCCUUGAUGGAUGAAGAUAGAUGGGAGAACAUCAUCCUUGGUGAAAUCACUGUUUUAUCAAGGUUAAACUAUCCUCACGCUGCAGCACCUCCCUUUGUUGCUUUGUUUACAAUCACAAAAUUAGCGGCAGAUGUAACGCGCGCUUGCACGGACCCUGUUUCUCCCUCCACGUGGAUUUUGUGAAGAUGCCUCUGUGGCGUGCAGGGCUGGUGAAAGCACCGCUCCAUCAUCCAUCGGGGCUCUCCAACAGCUGCCGCUAAAGCCAAAGGACCACCAGCCCCUCUCAUCUCAGCACACCGCAUCUGCUGGCACAUUUCUGGGGGCUGAGAACUGAAGUCGUGGUGAGCAGAGGUCAAGGAAGGAAAGCAGGAGAUACGGCGGCAGCAGCAACAUAUUCAAAUAGCUCAGCAGGAGAGCGGGGGACCAAACGCUUCGCUCCUGGAUUAAGAAAAUAAACUCCCAGGGUGUUGGCAUAGCAACAGCAUUUCAGAUGAACUGCUAUAUAUUCCGUGAUUAAUAAAUUAACAUUUUUUUCA